GAUGAACGCUGGCGGCGUGCCUAAUACAUGCAAGUCGAGCGAACAGACGAGGAGCUUGCUCCUCUGACGUUAGCGGCGGACGGGUGAGUAACACGUGGAUAACCUACCUAUAAGACUGGGAUAACUUCGGGAAACCGGAGCUAAUACCGGAUAAUAUAUUUAACCGCAUGGUUCAAUAGUGAAAGACGGUUUUGCUGUCACUUAUAGCUGGAUCCGCGCCGCAUUAGCUAGUUGGUAAGGUAACGGCUUACCAAGGCGACGAUGCGUAGCCGACCUGAGAGGGUGAUCGGCCACACUGGAACUGAGACACGGUCCAGACUCCUACGGGAGGCAGCAGUAGGGAAUCUUCCGCAAUGGGCGAAAGCCUGACGGAGCAACGCCGCGUGAGUGAUGAAGGUCUUCGGAUCGUAAAACUCUGUUAUUAGGGAAGAACAAAUGUGGAAGUAACUAUGCACGUCUUGACGGUACCUAAUCAGAAAGCCACGGCUAACUACGUG
rnacentral:rRNA from 1 species